rnacentral:rRNA from 1 species
AACGAACGCUGGCGGCAUGCCUAACACAUGCAAGUCGAACGAGACCUUCGGGUCGAGUGGCGCACGGGUGCGUAACGCGUGGGAAUCUGCCCUUGGGUUCGGAAUAACAGUUGGAAACGACUGCUAAUACCGGAUGAUGACGUGAGUCCAAAGAUUUAUCGCCCAAGGAUGAGCCCGCGUAGGAUUAGCUAGUUGGUGAGGUAAAGGCUCACCAAGGCGACGAUCCUUAGCUGGUCUGAGAGGAUGAGCAGCCACACUGGGACUGGGACACGGCCCAGACUCCUACGGGAGGCAGCAGUGGGGAAUAUUGGACAAUGGGCGAAGGCCUGAUCCAGCAAUGCCGCGUGAGUGAUGAAGGCCUUAGGGUUGUAAAGCUCUUUUAACCGGGAUGAUAAUGACAGUACCGGGAGAAUAAGCUCCGGCUAACUCCGUG